CCCUUAGAUGUUCUGGGCUGCACACGUGCUACACUGGCAGGUUCAGCGAGCUUCAUGCCCUGAUCUGAAAGGAAUGGGAAAUCUUUUCAAAACCUGCCGUGCUUGGGAUAGAUGUUUGCAAUUAUUCAUCUUCAACGAGGAUUGCCUUGUAAGCGCACGUCAUCAGCGUGCAUUGAAUACGACCCUGUAUUCUGUACACACCGCCCGUCGCUCCUACCGAUUGAAGUUUUCGGUGAGUUGACAGGAGGAUUUUUUUGAAACUGGUUCGCCAGUGGAUUUUAGAUCCAAAUGCCAACGAAUCGAGGGCUUUAGAGGAAGGAGAAGUCGUAACA
rnacentral:rRNA from 1 species